GUCCUGGAACAGCUCAGUCAGUAGCGCAUGAGACUCUUAACCUCAGGGUUGUGGGUUCAAUUCCCAUGUUGGGCU